AUCCAGCUGAACAGUCCCAAAUAGGACGAAAUGCGCUUCCUGGAU
rnacentral:hammerhead_ribozyme from 1 species